rnacentral:rRNA from 1 species
UACGUAGGGAUCGAGCGUUGUCCGGAAUCAUUGGGCGUAAAGAGCGUGUAGGCGGCCUGUUAAGUCUUGCGUGAAAUCUCGGGGCUCAACCCCGAGCGGUCGUGAGAAACUGGCAGGCUAGAGUGCGGGAGAGGAGAGUGGAAUUCCUGGUGUAGCGGUGAAAUGCGCAGAUAUCAGGAAGAACACCCGUGGCGAAGGCGGCUCUCUGGAACGCAACUGACGCUGAGACGCGAAAGCGUGGGGAGCAAACGGG